UUACCAACCCCGAAGCUGCACUACAAAGACAUACCAUUGUAAACCCAAAACCAAGUGGUAUGUUAAAAAUUAGGUGGACACUGUUUUAUACCUGACACGCCUGACUGUUUGUUGUGUACACAGAAUGAAAACUCCAAAAUUUUGAACAUACGACCUCAGGGUAAAGGUCCACUCAACUUCUAGGCCAUCACUCUUACGCGUAAAUAGAAGGCAUUGCACGCCCAACGAAUACCUUGUUUGACACGAGACGUUUAGACAAGAAAAUGGAUGAGCUGAUCACGCGAGGCUGGUAAAAGCAGGUCAAAGAUACCUGAGGGUUAAUGUUCUACAUUGUACCCAUUGACUGUUAGCAAUUUAAAUAAUUAAGUUUUUUAUAACACAUGGGCGAACGGGCAGUAGUUUAACCUCGUCUAAGUCCUCCGCCGAUGGAUAUAUUUAAAGAAGACUUGCGAGUGCCUCAUCUGCUUGGUGUAAUAUCUGAAAUGGUUUGAAAAGAAUUUAAUAGGCGGCUAGUGUCAUACAAGUGGGGUGCGACAAAAACGGCAUAGUAAAAUAAAGCAAUACCGAGUGACAAAUGACACUAAAUCUGUAUAAUCAUGUAAAAUAUAACAUAUUGAUUAGAUACAACGUCUAGAUACGGAAAUAGAAGGUGAUAUACAGAAACUUGUGAUAUUUCAUAUAGAAAUAUAUACCUUAUAUAUUUAUGCAUAGACAAAAACUGCCUCAAGAAACGCUCAGUUGUGGAACGACAAACGGAAUUUCGUAUGCAGCCAUUGCGGCUGAUUUUAGAUAGAACAGGGGGUAAAUUGACAGGGAGCUCACCUGAGGCCAAGUGAUACAACCGCCCAUGGGCACUCACAUUGCCAAGA